rnacentral:rRNA from 1 species
CAGCAGCCGCGGUCAUACGUAGGAUCCAAGCGUUAUCCGGAUUUACUGGGCGUAAAGCGCACGUAGGCGGACAUUUAAGUCAGGGGUGAAAUCCCGCAGCUCAACUGCGGAACUGCCUUUGAUACUGGGUGUCUAGAGUAUGGAAGAGGUAAGUGGAAUUGCGAGUGUAGAGGUGAAAUUCGUAGAUAUUCGCAGGAACACCAGUGGCGAAGGCGGCUUACUGGUCCAUUACUGACGCUGAGGUGCGAAAGCGUGGGGAGCA